GUCUCCCUACUCUCCUCAGACAAAUCCCCCGGACCGUACUCCUCCUCCUCCUUCCCCUUCCCCUCCCCGUCCCCGGAGAGGAAAGCGUCUCUCGCUAGCGCGUUCAGUAGAAACCCUAAAAAAAACCCCGCUUCCUCGCCUCGCCCGCGGAGCCGCACUCCCCUCGACGGGGGUAAGGGCUACGUGGUCGCCGCCCGCCAUGGAUGCGUUCCGGAAGCAGCUGGACGUGCUCAUGGGCGCAAACCGCAACGGCGACGUCGAGGAGGUGAACCGCAACUACUACGACCGCGACGUCUGCCGCCUCUUCCUCGCGGGCCUUUGCCCCCAUGACCUCUUCCAGCUCACGAAAAUGGAUCUCGGUCCUUGUUCUAAGAUUCACUCGCUUCAACUGCGGAAAGAUUAUGAAGAAGCGAAAGCAAAGGGAACAGAGAAUUUUGACAGAGAACUCGAGGAUAUGAUAGAAAGGCUCAUUGUGGAGUGCGACAGGAAAAUUCAGAGGGCCCUGAAACGGCUUGCGGAUGAUGAUGCCAAGGCUGCUAUUGCAAUAUCUGUCUCUGAGGUUACUCUGACGGAAGACAUACUGCAGCUGUCAAAACAGAUCAAAGAAAAAAUGAUAGAAGUCGAUGCCUUUGAUUUUGAAGGGAGAACUGAUGACAAAAUAAAGGCCCAGGAAGUAGUGGAAGAACUCAGAGCUAAAAGAGCUGAUAUGCAGGCUACCCUCUUGCUUGAUGCUUUUAACAAGGACAGAGCUUCAUUAACUCAGCCUGUUCCACCUCCUCCACUGGCAGCAGUGCCACCACCGCCUCCACCUGAUGCUCGUACUCAAGAAAUGAUCAAUGAAAAGCUUAAGAAAGCUGAAGAGCUUGGUGAACAAGGCAUGGUUGAUGAAGCUCAGAAAGCUUUGGAAGAGGCAGAAGCUCUGAAAAAGCUGGCGCCACGUCCGGAGCCACCUUCAGACCCUUCUAAAUAUACCGCCGUUGAUGUUCGGAUUACUGAUCAAAAGUUACGCCUCUGUGACAUAUGUGGAGCAUUUCUGAGUGUAUAUGACAAUGAUCGACGUCUUGCUGACCAUUUUGGAGGGAAACUACACCUAGGCUACAUGCUGAUUCGUGAGAAACAGAAAGAACUUCAGGUGCUGAGUGUAAUGUACCAUUUUCUGCUUUAAAGAGUUACUCUGUUUUGGGCCUUUUGGCAUCUUCAUUACAGGAAUUAGUUCCAUGUUGCGUGAUUGGAAUCUCAUGCGAUCAUCUUCAUACCCAUGGCUACAACAGUCACUGUCUGUUGACAAAUGUAAGCAUAGGAGCGUGCAGGCCAUGGUAUGAAAAAUCAUGUUUACUUAAUUGUGACAAACUGCUCAUGUGUCUGCUUAGUAUUAUGUUGGGCAGAAGCUGGAGGUUGGUUUUCUACUGCCUGAGCCAUAUUAUGUAGACCAGGUGAUAAAUAGUACUGGUUAAGUUAUCCUGAAAGCACAUUCCUUUUGCCAACAUUUGCUGUAAGUGACAACUUGUUCUGUUUUUUUAAUCUGCUACCUCCUUCAUAAGUUUGCAAGAUAUAUUUUCCUGAAGCAGCCUUGCCUGUAAAGUAUCACUCGCCCUUUCCUUUGGAACGUUAUCUCUGAUUUUAAGUUUGCCAAAAUAUCACCAUUUCUACUGUCAAUAAAUAAAAUAUACUAUGCCAUCUUGCAGGAGCAGAGAAACAAAAGGAGGACGGGCAAAACUGAAGAUGAUAGACGAUCAAGAGAGCACAGCAAGGAUCGCAACGGUCGGUCAUCCAGGGAUAGAGAUUCAGAAAGGAGAGACAGAGUUGAGUCUCGAGAUGGUAGAAGAGAUUAUGAUAGAGAUCGUGAUAGACGUCACGAUAGGGACCGUCGCCAUGACCGUGAUCGGGAUAGGGAUUAUGACCGUUCCCGCGGACAUGAUUCAAGGAGAAGAGAGCGUUCACGCUCCAGGGAGCGCAGCAGGCGCCAUGAGAGAUACUAAAUGUUGCUCCAUGGCUGACAGAUUUUGGAGUGCUGGCGUCUGUUCAAGAUAUGGUUUGAGUUGUGCUUUGUAUCUUCUGUAGGUUCCUGCUCGAGAAAUCCGAGAGUCAAUCUUGGUGCAUUAUGCAUCAUGUCAUAGCGUCGUACUGUUUAGUAUACCAAUUUUAUAUGCCGAGAACAAUCACAUUAAAGGAAGCUUUGGAAACCGUCCUACUUGACGCUAAAUGUGCAUGGAGUUUUAAGUAUUUAAACGCGUCUGGAAUCAAAUGAAGUUGUACUUGCGGACGAAAUGACUUUACUCUAAUUCGUGCAGUUUUUGUAUUA